rnacentral:rRNA from 1 species
UACGGAGGGUGCAAGCGUUGUUCGGAUUUACUGGGCGUAAAGGGCGCGUAGGCGGCAAUUCAAGUCAUCUGUGAAAUCUCCGGGCUCAACCCGGAGGGGCCACCCGAUACUGCUGGACUAGAGUUCGGUAGGGGAGCGGGGAAUUCCUGGUGUAGCGGUGAAAUGCGCAGAUAUCAGGAGGAACACCGGUGGCGAAGGCGCCGCUCUGGGCCGACACUGACGCUGAGGAGCGAAAGCGUGGGUAGCAAACAGG